GACGAACGCUGGCGGCGUGCUUAACACAUGCAAGUCGAACGAAGUGGCGAACGGGUGAGUAACGCGUAAUCAACCUGCCCUUCAGAGGGGGACAACAGUUGGAAACGACUGCUAAUACCGCAUACUGAAGGAGGGGAUUGCGUCUGAUUAGCUAGUUGGAGGGGUAACGGCCCACCAAGGCGAUGAUCAGUAGCCGGUCUGAGAGGAUGAACGGCCACAUUGGGACUGAGACACGGCCCAGACUCCUACGGGAGGCAGCAGUGGGGAAUCUUCCGCAAUGGACGAAAGUCUGACGGAGCAACGCCGCGUGAGUGAUGACGGCCUUCGGGUUGUAAAGCUCUGUUAAUCGGGACGCGGUACCGGAAUAGAAAGCCACGGCUAACUACGUGCCAGCAGCCGCGGUAAUAC
rnacentral:rRNA from 1 species